rnacentral:rRNA from 1 species
AGAGUUUGAUCAUGGCUCAGGACGAACGCUGGCGGCGUGCUUAACACAUGCAAGUCGAACGGAAAGGCCCUUCGGGGUACUCGAGUGGCGAACGGGUGAGUAACACGUGGGUGAUCUGCCCUGCACUUUGGGAUAAGCCUGGGAAACUGGGUCUAAUACCGAAUAGGACCACGCGCUUCAUGGUGUGUGGUGGAAAGCUUUUGCGGUGUGGGAUGGGCCCGCGGCCUAUCAGCUUGUUGGUGGGGUAAUGGCCUACCAAGGCGACGACGGGUAGCCGGCCUGAGAGGGUGACCGGCCACACUGGGACUGAGAUACGGCCCAGACUCCUACGGGAGGCAGCAGUGGGGAAUAUUGCACAAUGGGCGCAAGCCUGAUGCAGCGACGCCGCGUGAGGGAUGACGGCCUUCGGGUUGUAAACCUCUUUCAAUAGGGACGAAGCGCAAGUGACGGUACCUAUAGAAGAAGCACCGGCCAACUACGUGCCAGCAGCCGCGGUAAUACGUAGGGUGCGAGCGUUGUCCGGAAUUACUGGGCGUAAAGAGCUCGUAGGUGGUUUGUCGCGUUGUUCGUGAAAACUCACAGCUUAACUGUGGGCGUGCGGGCGAUACGGGCAGACUAGAGUACUGCAGGGGAGACUGGAAUUCCUGGUGUAGCGGUGGAAUGCGCAGAUAUCAGGAGGAACACCGGUGGCGAAGGCGGGUCUCUGGGCAGUAACCGACGCUGAGGAGCGAAAGCGUGGGGAGCGAACAGGAUUAGAUACCCCGGUAGUCCAA